AUUAAUUUAGAAUUUGUAAAGUCACGGAAAAUUAAAUAUACACAAGGAAUUGUUUUGGAGCAGAUCCUAAGAAAUAUGAAAAAAGAAGUCGCUUAAAAAAAUCAAGUCGCCAACCACAGAAGAAGGCGUAAAUAAAAAUUAAGUCCAAGAUUGCCGAAGACAAGACCUAAGGAAAAGUUUUGCAGAGAUUGGAAAACAAAUGUGGAAAUUUUUUAAAGACAUGGUUGAUAGUCGCAAAUAUAUAUGAAUUUGAGGUGGGGAGUUUGUCAAUCCACUGCUCACACACUUCUUUCAAGCUCCACCUCUUGAUACAGCUAUACUCGUGGGAAUCUGUUUUGCUUUGUUUUACAAUUCCAUUCUGUUCUGUUGCGCGGACUCCAAGUGAAGGAAAAAGGUGAUAACAGACACAAGUUCAACGAACUCUAGGCCUGCUGUCUUGCUCAGAAUUCCAUAUUGUUCCUCAGUGAAGGGGUAAUAGACAAAAAAAAGCUGUUGUACGAUAUCUACAUUAUUUAAAAUACUAUCCCAACAUAUUGCUUUUUGAUCCUGAUCGCAGUAUCUAUUGUGUUUGCUUUGAAACCCAGCGAACAUACUCAGUGGCGUAGAGAGUUUUUUAUUGAUUGAUACGAAAUUUGUAUUUAUGUACUGUAAAUUCUUUUUCCUUAAAUAGUUUUCUACCAUUUUACAAACUUUUA
rnacentral:sRNA from 1 species